CGCGGGGCUGGAGCAGUCCUUGGUAGUCUCGUCGGGCUCAUAACCCGAACGGUCGUCGGUUCAAAUCCGGCCCUCGCAACCA
rnacentral:tRNA from 1 species